GGACCCUUUUUGAGAACUUCACUGACGUGAAAAAGGCUCGUUGGAUAGUAAUAACCUCAAGAUGAUGUCUUCUAGGUGAUGUCUUCGUAUCAUCCCAACGAGGAAGAUACCUUGCAGGCCAACAAUACACAACCAUCGACUCCAAGGUUCUAAAAAGGUCCCUGGUGUCAUCGAUCCAACUUGGAAACAUUAUCACUAUGAGGAAGGCUUGUCAGACAAUAACAUCUCUAAGAGAAUCUACUCUAGGAGGGGUCUUCGUAUCAUACAAACA
rnacentral:lncRNA from 1 species